GACGAACGCUGGCGGCGCGCUUAACACAUGCAAGUCGAACGGAAAGGCCUGCUUUCCCUUGUGGAUUGCGGGUACUCGAGUGGCGAACGGGUGAGUAACACGUGAGUGAUCUGCCCCCAACUUGGGUAUAAGCCUGGGAAACUGGGUCUAAUUCCCGAUAGGACUGCAGGGUGGUGCCUGUGGUGGAAAACGAUUUUCUAGUGGUUGGGGAUGAGCUCGCGGCCUAUCAGCUUGUUGGUGGGGUAAUGGCCUACCAAGGCGGCGACGGGUAGCCGGCCUGAGAGGGUGGACGGCCACAGUGGGACUGAGCGACGGCCCAGACUACUACGGGAGGCAGCAGUGGGGAAUAUUGCACAAUGGGCGGAAGCCUGAUGCGGCGACGCCGCGUGGGGGAUGACGGGCUUCGGGUUGUACACUCCUUUCGACCGAGAGGAAGCCACCUGGUUGGAAGGGUGGUGACGGUAGUGGUAGAAGAAGCACCGGCUAACUACGUG
rnacentral:rRNA from 1 species